GCCCCUCCCCCACUUGUGCUGUGUCUCUCUCUCUCUCUCUCAAAACGUUAAAAACAUUAAAAAACAUAAAAACAUUAAAAAAGAAAUAAGUGCAGUAAUUACUCAAUUAUCUGACAAUGGCUUAGGAAAAAUUUAUGGUAUUAGACUCUUGACUCUUGAUGAACGGAUAUCCCUCAUCAAGCCUGAAAUGGAAAAAGAAAAAAAAAAGGCAGAGAGUGAGUCCACAGUUCAGAGCUGCUCUCUUGCUCAUUCCUUCCUUAGGGAGAGUGAUAUUCCCAAAGCCUGGAUAUGUCUCCUAAUUGCCAGUGACUAGUCUCUGUCCUAAUCUCAUGUAUACCUUUUAUUUCUCUUGCUUACUGGUUCAAAGGCAAACCAAAGUGAAAGUACCAUUGAAGAGAGCCCAGGUGGCCAGUCGGUUGAGCAUCCAACUCUUGAUUUUGGCUCAGGUCAUGGUCACAGGGUCAGAAGAUUGAGUCCCUUGUCAGGCUCCAUGCUGAGCAAGGAGCCUGCUUAAGAUUCUCUCUCUCUCUGCCCCUUUCUCUCUCUCUCUCUCUCUCUCUCUCUCUCUCUCUCUCAUAAAUAAAAAAUAAAAAUAAAAAUAAGAUAGUAAAAAAACAAAAACAGUGAAAGCACCAUUAAGUGAAUCCGAGUGGCCAUUCUGACCCAUCCCCAAACUCUGGCCAGCGUGCAGUCUGGCCAUAGGUAGAGUGCUACCAGUAAGCCUGGGUAUCUCCCAAAUAUUGGGCUCUUCAGGUAAAUAUUUGGCAAAUCUAAGCUCACCUUCCUCUUCAACACCACAGUGAACUAGUUAUGACAUUGAGAAGCCUGAGCCAAACUUGCAGUUUGGUGAUUUAGGUGGUAGAGAUGAAGGUUUGAGCCACCUGUGCCUCUUUCCUGAAAUAACUGGGUGUGAGAUGUUGAGUUUGCAAAAGGCUUCUCAGGUUUUUGUUGGGAUGGUGACAGUGAUGAGACUGGCCUUGUUAUAUUCCCUCUCUGAGUCCUGGUAUCUCUUUACAGACCUUUCCGUUUAGAAGAAUGUCUUAGGACAGAGUCUCCACAAGCACAACUUGAAGGAAGGAUUUAUUUAUAUGUCAAUGGUUUACUAAGGAAGUGUUCCUAAGAGGAAUCCGUAAGGAAGCGAGGAAAGCAGGAGAAGAAGUGGACCCAAGCACAGGAUAUGAUGGCUUCAGUAUUUCUGAAGACACAGAAUUUCCACUAAUCAUUCAGCAGAGAGGAGCUAUUAUGAAGUUCCAAGAACAAGGACAGAAUAUCAGGGCAGCUCACAUCCCAGCAAUCCACCAGUCUUGGAGCGACUGAAUGAGGAGGCAUCCAGAUGUGUCCUGGGUGCAGACCUAAGAUGACCUGCCUAAAGCUAUAGCUAAUAAGAAGUAGUUGCUUGAAAGCUGGUGGGAAGUUUCAUUGUUUGCUCUCCUCUCUAGGAGACCAAAGAGAGGUGAAGUCUUUCCUGAGCACAGAUGAUCGAAGCUGGGUGAAACACUCAGUCAAAUUAGAGGAAAGCAAGAUUAAAGCUCUUACCAAACAAGUCUCCUGACAUCUACCUCAAACCAAAUGAGCCCCAGGCAGUGACUCUGACCCCUCCUAGAAAACAAGCGGAAGAUUGUACCUUUAUAAUAAGACAGAGAGUCUUUAAGAGGAGUGGCCAUGCAAUACACAUAUUGUGUAUCCCUGAGAAUGCCUAACAAAUAUUGGUUUCAGUUUCAAGAAUGGAUUUCUCCAUGUCUCAGGGAUUUUAAAUCUUGAAGAGAUGAUCUUACCUCAUGGCAGCCAGUCCAGUGUUUUUGCCACCUGACCAUACCACUUCCAGAAGGACCUUGAUAACCAGCUUGAUGGUCAGAUUGUCCAUUUCAAUGACUUUGUCGGUAUAGAGUUUCUCCAGAAGUUCACACAAUGACUUGGCACCCUGGCCUGUGACAUCGUUGGCCUUCCAGAUACAGAGACCUUCCGUGAGUCUGACGACAUGCUUUCACUUCAAGGCAAGCGAGCUGAAAACACCUGCAAAGGGCACAGGAGGAAAGCAAAAAGGCCUCUGAGUAACCAGCCUGAAUUCUACACUGCAGCAAAGCUUGUGUAUUUUUUAAAAAAAAUCAGUUUUUCCAGCUGUUGAAUGACUUCAGGAAGCUUUCCCAAGGCCCCAUCUGAUGCAAAGUCCUCCCCUGUGCUUCACCACUGCUUGUCUUUACCCUGAUCCCAGCACAAUGGCUCUGCUUGUUGUCUGGUUUGCCACGUCUGUUGUUAAUUUAAACCACCAGGAGGUCAGGGACGACUCUAUUUUGUUUGAAUGGCAUGCGUUCACCGGAAAAUAAUCUUCUCUCCAAUGUAGAAUCCUGAGCAUGAGAAUUCUCAAGACACACUAGGUCAAGAGUGAGAGGAAAGUACAAAAUAUAUGUUCACUGUCUUAUAUGGCGUUUCUUCUUGUGAACAUAUGGGUAUAAUCGUGGCUCAAUAAAAGAUGUGCUCCAAUUAUCUCUCUUUGGUCCUCCCUUUGAAAUACUCCCUAAUUGGUAACACAUUUGCUUAGCCACUCUACUAGGUAGUUACUACUUAAAAAUUGGAGAAUUUUUAAGAGUUUAGCAGAACAUCUGGGAGCUGUGAAAACUGAUUUUGGCUGAACUUCUCUUUGUUUUUUUCCAGUGUUUGGUUUUUUUUUUUUUUUCUAUACAAUUACACUUGCAUCCAACUUCUGUCAAACCUGAUUGUUUGGGAAUUUUACCCGUAGUACUCUUAUUCCUCACAGAACCCUAGAAACCUGAGCAUUGAUCUUUCCUCCUUGUCUCCAGCCCAUAUCUGAGUCUGGCAUUUAUUAUUUUCUUCAGCUGUAACAUUUUAAUCCAUUCAUAACUUUGCUUAUAUCUCUGACUUGGAGAUCUUGGGCCACCUUUUAAUUUAUUCUUUUAUGCACUCGUUCAUUCACGUGUUCAACAAAUAUUUACUGAGUUGCCUUGGCACCACUAGAGAUAAAAGAUGAAUAAUGGUUCCUGCCCUCAAAAACUUUACUAUGGGGAAAUAGUCAAACAAUCCAUUAAAAUACAACAACAUAAAUGCUAUUUAUUCAUUCAGGUAGUCUCUGGGUUCCUACUCUGUCCCAGCACUGUGCAAGGCAGAUGUUACAAAUAGAUUGCCAUAUAGGAGGAAUACCUAAUGGGGGAAGGGGAAGUCUUCCAGAAGAGAUGAUCCCAAGUUUGGCCCUGAAUGAUGAAGAGGCUCUAACCAGGGAAGUUGGAGGCAGAAAAACAAGGAGGGAUUAUUAUGUUCACAGCAGACGGAGCAGCAUCUAAAAAGUUUUAGAAGGAAGAAAGAUGUGCCAAGGGCAUUACAAGCUCUUGGCUAUGGCCAGGAACUGUGUCAUAGUAGCAUUUAUCAAAUAUAUGCUGAAUGAAAGAGUAGAGAGAAAUAAUGCUGUAGAAGCAAGGAGGGAUGAAGUUUUUUUUAAUGUUUAUUUAUAAAUUUAUUUUGAGAGAGGGAGAAAGAGAAUCACAAGCAGGCUCUACACUUAACACAGAGCCCAAUGUGGGGCUUGAUCUUAUUAUGACUGUGAAAUUAAGAGUUUGAUGCUCAACCUACAGAGCCACCCACGUGCCCCGUAAGAAACCUUUUAAGUUAUGCGAAGGAGUUUGGACUUCACCUUGACAAUUAUGGGAGACCAUUGAAAAGAAUGUUAGGAUGAUGGGGCUGAGAGUAGGGGUACAGAAUAGAUAUGAUCAGACCUGUAUUUUAAAUUUCUCACUUUGGUCUUAUCAUCAAGAUUGACACAGACAAGAGUGAGGGCAGGGAGCCCAGGAAUGAAGCUGUUGCUAUAAUAUAGAUCUUAAUAACCCUAGAAUGUGGUCCUGGACCAACAGCAUCGUGUACAUAACCCAGGAGCUUGUUAUAAGUGCAGAAUCUUGGGGCACACCAAGAUUGAGUCAGAGACUGCAUUUCAUUAUAAUAAGUUCACUCAGUGAUUCCAAUACAUAUUAAAAUUUGAGAUGCACUUAUCUAAACUUAAUUAUGUUAGUGGUAGCAGGGUUAAGAAGAAUGGGAAGAUUUGAGAGGUGUUUCACUGGAACAAUCAACCAGAUUUGGUGAGCUAAUGGAUGAGAGGGAAGGAUAACAAACAGAUGUAGUAUCUCUAAGUGAAGAAAAAGGGUUGGAGAGAGAGCUGGUACUGAUCUCUUGGGCCUGUACUUUAAAAAAAUUGAUUUGAAAUCUAUUCAUAGAAGUAAUAAAAUUGUUAUAUAGCUAAUCUCUGCUCUGAAAACCACAGCCAGGGGGACACUUAGAAUUGUAACAUAGAAAAUAUUAUGGAAUCAAAGAUAUCUGCUCAGUAGGGUAGCACUUUUUUGAUUACACUAUACCUCAAAACUUCUCUCUUUAUGGCAACAUAUCAGAGACUGAAAUAACACUCUUAGUUUAGGUUAGCAUGUGUCUAGCAGACCAGAAAGGGAGAAAGGAAAGGAGCUUGCUCAAAAGAGAGAAACAGAGAGACAGAGACAGAAAGACCGAAGAAUUUUUCAAGUCACAGCUCCAGCCUGUUGUAGAGCCUGUUGGAGAAAAGUGAACUUCUUUAUACAUAAAGAUCACAAAAAUUCUAAACCUAAGUGAAUUUGCCUUGGAAAUUUAAGGGAAUUGAUAAGAUACCUAAUGAUUUUGAAUGCUAACUAUGUACCAAUCACUGCCUAUUCACUGUUGGUAUUUAAUGUCACUUGUUUUUGACAAUCCUGUAAGGUAAAUGUCUCCCUCCUCUUCUUUCAGUUAGGGAGAUUGAGUAUCAUCAAUGUGAAAGUGUUUGCUGGAGGCAGAUCAGCAACUUCUGAUCUGAACUGCAACUUCCACCCAGGAUUUCAACCCUGUAUGUCCAGGCUUUUCCUACCAUUCUGUGCUGUCUUUUAAAAUAGACAACUCUUUACAUUUGACAAUCCUUUAAAGGAACCAACAUCCAGCACAUGUGACGUGGGACAUAAAAUACCUUGCAUGGAAUACAUAACCAGUUCAAGAAGAGGAGAGCAUACAGACCAGACAAGGUCAGAAACAUUCCCCUUAGCCACACAGCUAAGAAUCCAUCAGUUCCCUAAAGUGAAGAUUAGAAAGGUUAACACCAGACCCAUAAUGCAUAUUGUUUGUAUUUAUAUUACAUUCAUAUAUAUUAUUGUAUUUUAUUAGUUACAUUCCACAUGUUGCUACAUUCAUUCUUGUACAUUCAGUUCUCAACAUUUUGUUGUCUUUGUAUUGUCGAUGGAAUAUAAGGUCUUUAAUUUCAUUAAGCAAGGUGAAGAUAAAUGACAAUUAGGGCCAGGAAUUUGGAACCAAGCAAAAGCAGAAACAUGCCUUAGGAAGGCUAUUUCUUGUCUGUGCUGGAAGUUACCAAUUUUGAAUACAUUUUAAGACAAGUCAUUGCGGAAGAUACAAAAAUCAAUAAACUAGGAGUUCUGCCGUCAAGUACCUAGCAAUCUAGGGUGGGAGACACAGCAAGUUUAAUAAUAAAAAUAGUGAAAGAAUAUGUUAAGUACCAUAUGUGAUCAUAUAGAGAUAAAAUGAGAGAAGUGAGUUUCCAUUAUUAUGGCUGUGUAACAAGUUAUCCUGAGACUUAGUGUUGUUAAAUACCCAUUUAUUCUAUGGUUUGGGAAAUAAGACAGGGAAUAUCAGGGAUAAAUUGUCUCUACUUCAUGAUGUCUGGGACCUCAGUUGGAUGACUUGAAGCUUAGGGGUUGGAAUCAUCCGAAGGUUCAUUUGUUUGCAUGUCUGGCAGUUGAUGCUGCCUAGACUCAAAAAGCUGGUCUGCUGGGAUAGUUGAGCUUCUCAGGCAUCUCACUCUGUCUUUCUGUGGUCCCUCUACCUGGUCUCUCUAUCUUGGGCUGCAUGUUGAAAGAGAGCAGCAGGUGGCUGUAUGGCUUUUUCUAACCCAGUCUUACUUAAAAGUCACUUCUACCACAUUGUUGGAAUCAAUUCACUAGGGCUAGCCUGUAUUUAAAGGGAAAGGAAUUAUACUCUACCUUUUGUGGGAAAAGAGUCCAACAAUUUGUGGGCAUGUUCUAAAAACACCACACUGGAAGGGCACCUAGGUGUCUCAGUCGGUUGAGUGUCCGACUUUGAUCUCACAGUUUGAGUUUGAGCCCCACAUUGGGCUUGCUGCUGUCAGCACAGAGCCCACUUGAGCUCUUCUGCCCCCCUCUCUCUCUGUCCCUUACCCGCUUGCACUCUCAAAAAUAAAUAAAUGUUAAAACACCACACUGGAGAAUCAGGGAACACUUUGUGGAAAUACUACCAUUGGAGCUGGGUAUUGAAAGAUGAAUGUAAUUUGAAUAAGCGAAGGUAAUAUAAGUGGAAGUAAACACAGGGAUCUUUAUCUGCAGGUAAACCAUGCAAGAACAUAACAGACUGAUAAAACUAGUGCAUUGGGAGUACAAGAAAUAAGCCUGAAACAUAAAUGGGGCCCAAGGUGUGGCAGGAGUUCAGCACCAAGCUAAGGAGAAUGUAUUUGAUUCAGCUGGCAAUGCAAAGCUAUGAUAGUUGUGGUUCUCAACCUGAGCCACCAUUGGAAUCAUCUGGGGAGCCUUAAAAAUACCAAUGCCUGGAUCCCACCCCCUAAGAUUCUAAUUUAGUUGUUCUAGAAUACAGCCUAAGCUUCAGGACUUUUGAAAGCUUCCCAGGUGAUUCUUGUUAGCCAACGUUGUAAACUAGGACACUAAAGGCGUUUGAAGAGAUGAGAUAUUAUCAGAAAUCAGUUUACAUGCUCUCUCUGGGAACCAGUGAGUAGUUUACAGCAGUCUGCAUAUGCUACCUGAACAAAUGAACUUCAUCACAAAAUGAAGUCAGUUGGAGUCGUUUUCUUCUGCCAAGAAAUAAGACGAGAAGGAUUAUGAAUGAUGGAAGUUAUGCUCAAGUUGCUGGAGUGGUUCACUUUAAGAAGAUCGAGUAUGAAAAAUGGUAUGAAAAAUGUACAUUAGGGGGCAAGGAUUCAUAGCACAAAUGAAUCCUUUUCAAUAUGUAAAUGUUUAUCCCAGAAAUCCUUUAUAUAUUCAACUACAGCUGAAUUUUUUAAACGUCCAAUUUACUAAAAAUAGUUUCAUAUUUAUCGCAUAGCGUGAGUUUCAGGAGAAUAUUGAUUUCACACUUACUACUUAUAACUGAAACUAAAGCAAAAGGUGAGGGAGAUUUUGUGGGUCAAAUUUGCAAUGCUCAAAUUGCAAAAACAAAACAAAAACUCUGCAAAGUUUAUUCUCUACAAAAACAGAAACAAAACAGAACAAAGAAAAUCAUGUGUCAGAUGAACAGACAAAGCCCGAUCCAUAGCUCAGGCAAGCAGGUGGGCAGACAAGCAGGCAGGUGGGUGGAUAGUUGGGCCUGAUGGAGAGAUGGGUGGGCAGUCUGGCAGGCUGUUCCAUCCAUGUACAGGGGCGGAUUAUUAGGCAGGAUCCAGAGAAUGACAUGACAGAUUGGCAACAAGGGAAACAUCAGAAAAUAUGGCUGGAGGACUUCAUUGUUAAGGCAGAAACUUUUUUGUGCUUUCUCUGUGUGGGCAAAUCACCUGUUAUGUGUGGGCAGUCCUGGCCCAUAGGGUUACAAAGAGCCAGAAAAAGUCAGGAGCUCAAGUGAAUUCUACCCAUGAUCAGAGAUACUAAAAUUAUCCCCAGACUAGCUUUGUUAAUGUGAAGAAGAGAAUCACUAACAAAAUGUUCCCUUUGACUCUGGGAGUUGAUGAUAACAGUAAUAACUCUGCAAUCUCUACUGGGGACUUGAGUCAUGCAACAGAUGUCACUGGAGGUUGAGGCAAGUAUGUGGCCCAACAGGCCAAAUGGCCUUCCUUGAUGUCACAAAAGACCCUGGUAGGGUUGGAAGUCAAUUUCUCUUAAAAUUCCUGCUUGGAUAUCCCUCCAUGAAACAUUAGUAAAUAAACCGUGUGGCUAAUAUUUUCAAGUUUGUGAGAAAAGGAUUGAUUGAACUGGAAACAGUGAAAAAGGUAGCAUAAGUCAGGAAGACUGUUGGGCCCUUCGGUAAGGUCUUAACAUUCUGAAGACGCAGAGGUAGUCCACCACUAAAUACAGGCAUAAUAGAAAUAGAACUCAUGGGGCCAGAUAAGAUUUCAAGUGAUUCACCCACUAAAGAUGGUCUGCAUAUUGGUGAUCCGUAGUGAUGAUUCUAAGAGAUGUAUCUAUCCUUCUAACAAAACUAAACUCCUUGGCUUUUAUGUCCUAAUUUGGCUUCAUAAUUUUCAGCUGAGGGAAGCAAAAAGCACAUGUUGGGUUUUCAGUCCCAGAUGGUAGUAUCUGCUUCCAGGUAUACUUAUUUAUUAUUUUGUUGUGUUUUCUUAGAACUAGGUAUAGCAAAUUAUAUAGGGCUACAAAGACCUAUAAGAGGUCACAUGAGUGAAAGGCCACCUACUUUGUUCAUACUCUCAGUCUUAUCUUCUGACUAUCUUCAGGAUACUCAAUUCCUCCAGUGGUAUUUUAAAUUUUGAAGUUUUAUGUAGUUCCAUUUCUGGCCUCUUCCCUUAGUAACCUCAUCAAUUUCUAUGGCUUCAGAUACCAUCCGUGUUCCAAGUGACUUCCAAAUAUCAAGCUCUACCUCUGUUCUAAAAAUGUGAUCCCUGAGUCAGCAGUAACAACAUCUUCUGGAUCCUUGUUAGAAAUUCAAGUUCCUGCCCCUACUCUCCCAGAUGUAUAAAAUCAGAAACCCUGAGGGUGAGGUCUGGUAAUCUGUAUUUGAACAAGCUCCAAAGCCGAUUCUGAUGCUAAAGUUUGAGGGUUACUGCUUUAGUUUGUACUGGCUUUGUGAGAUGCAUGCUGCUGUAGGUAACCAACUAGAAUUUCAUGGAUGUCUAAGCGACAGACAUGUCCAAAAUGGACCCAUGAUCUUUCUCUACUUCCCAAACUAUCUCACUUAGAGUAUUCCAUAUUUCAGUAACUAUCAUCACUCAGUUUCUUAAGCCAGAAAUCUGAGAGUCACCCUUGACACUUGUUUCUACCUCCCCUUCCACAUUCAUUUAAUCACUAUACUGUGUUUAACUCUACCUUUAGAAUUUAUUUUACACCUAUCUGUUUAUUUCCAUCGUGAAGACUACCACCCUGUGCUAAGCCACCAUCAUCUCCUGCCUAGACUACUGAGAUAUAUCCAGCUGGUAUGUCCCUACCCUCUUCUCGUCCCCAGUAAUACACUCUUCACGGCUCCUUCCAUAGUCCUGAGCGUGUCAACCCUUAACUUAGAUCUUUCAAGGGGGUUAUCCUUUGCACUUAGAAUUAGGACCCACAUCUUCAGUAGGUUCUACUGCUUCCCAAAGUGUAAGGGGUGGGGGUGAACUACUGCAUUAGAAUCUCUUGGGGGUAGAGCUUGGAACUUUGCAUUUAUGAUAUUAUAUAAAGUAUUCCAAUUACAGUCAGUCCUCAUAAAAUUUCAUAUUAUAAAAUGUUCCAGAUUAUAAUGUGUAACCAGUUUUUAGCAGUAAAUGCAGUUGCCUUUCACUAAAAGCCUAAGAAAAGUUUGAUCAUUGUUCAUUUCAUUUAAGAUUUUUCAAUUAAAAGUAUACACUUUAUGUUUAGUUCACUGACAUUUAUAGUAUGCUUACACUGUUUUCAUCAAGGAUAUAUUACUAAAAAUUAUAAUUGUAACCCAAUCCAGAAAAAAAAACAUAACAUUGAAAAUCUCAUGGUUAGAGAAAAUUAAAAAUUUAAAUUUAAACCUAUGUGCAUAUUUUGUUACAGAUUAGAAUGAUAUGAUCAACAAAAUGUUUUUCAAGCACAACAUAUAUAAGGAUAAAUAUUUAGGAGGGUAUAGUAGAAUAGAAAUAUGACUUAACAAAUAAAAAUGAAAGAAAGUUUCUAGAUGUUAGGGAACAGUUUAAUAUACUUUAAAAGGAUUAUGGUAGUUAUCAAAUUACAACAUUCGAUUUCUCAUGAAACAUUUAGAAGAAUGUUGUAAUAGUUUCAUUUUUAAAUGUCAGUUCUUACAGUGUGCCAGAAAUUAAGUGCUGUGUAACUAUUUAAUAUUAUGAUGAUUUUUUCCCUUGAAAAUAAAAAAUCUUUGAGGCAAUAAAUGAUUUUUCAAAAUUAUUAGAAAGGGUACAUGAACAAAAAUAACCUAAGGUAGUGGUGUUUGGGGCAAACUCUUCAUCUUAACUAGUUUGAACUUUUGACUAAAAUAAAAGUAUUUGACAAAUUAAUUUUAUUUGUGAGCAGGAGAUGGAGGAAGCAUACUUCUAUGAAUUAUUGGGCAUGAGGUUAUGCCCCAGAUUGGAAAAAGUCUAAUAAGAGCCACUCCUAUUCAUUCACUUCCCUAGAAGAGAACUCAGAAAAAGGUGUGACCCCCAAAGUCAUAGAUAAAAGGACGGUUGAUUAUAUAACCAGUCACAUAAGGGUCCAUUUAAUCGCUAAGGGCCUGGAGACAUAAGUAAAGACAGUUCUUGCUAUGUUGAUUUUAAAUGACUCUAUUAAGAAGGACUCUAAGAAGGUAGAAGUAUGCAGAAAAGUAGACCCUGUCAGACAGGAAAUAUCCAAAGACCAGAAAGCCUGAUAUUUUCCAAGAGUUAUAUCACUGUUGAGAACUUCAUCAGAAUUGGGAGGAGCUUGCCUGUUUUCCUUACUUUCACAGUAGGUGUCUGGAGAUCAUCUCUUGUGGGUAGAUGUCUUUCCUAUCAUUUUUCUGCAUUAAAUAAUAUUUUAACCUUCUAUCAUCUUACACUUCUUUACCUUUUGCAUAGACUUGCCCAGUGAAUACCCAUUUUCCCUUAGAAUUUUUCCCCCUUCCCUGAUUAUAUAAAGGAUUUUUGCUAUUUUGAUAUAUUUGGUACGGAUUGAAAUUAAAUGGAUUGAAGUUGGACCUGUGUGGGGAGAGAGGGGAUUCAAAACGGUAGCUUUAAAUGGGGAGUUAUUGGUCAAGGGCCCAAGUUUUCAAUUAUAAGAUGGGUAAGUUCUGGGAAUCUGAUGUAUAGCAUGGUGACUCUAGUUAAAAAUACUGUAUUGUAUAUUUGAAAGUUCCUAAGAGAGCAGAUCUUAAGUGUUCUUGCCACACAGAAAAAAGAAAAAAGGUGACUAUGUGAGGUGAUGGAUGUAUGAGCUGAUGCUAUGGUGGUAAUCACUUUGCAAUAUAUGUGUUCCAAAUAAACAUAUUGUUGUACAACCUAAACUUAUACAAUAUUAUAUGUCAAUUAUAUCUCAACAAAGUUGGGAAAGACAAAAACCAAAGUGCUAGCUUUGAUGAAAACAUAUCAAGUUAAAUACGCCAAAGAGUGCCAAAUGCUAGCAAGAGAGGAAAUUCACAAGGCUAACAUAGAGAAAUUAGAGAGAAAUUAAGCUUGCAUUAUAAUAGGCAAGACAAUAAACAAUGUAAAUAAGUAAAAUGUAUAAUGAUGAAUGCUAAAGAGAAAAAAAAGCAGGGAAGAAAAUAUGUGCAGGGUAAAAAGGGAGGAAGUGAGCUUUGGGACUCUCUCAGGGAAGAACAAUGCAAAGACCUUGCAGUAGGAGCAUGUGUAGUAGACAUCAAUGAGGACAGCAUGGCUGUAGUUGAGUGGCCAUAAGGAAAAAAAAAUUAGGAGAUGAGGCCAGAGAGUUGGUGGACCAGGCCCUGCAGAGCAUUAUGAAUAACUGUAAGGACUUCACUUUUCAUCUGCGUGUGCUGGGAAGCCAGUGUUGGGCUCUAACAGAGAUGUAGUGUGAUGUGGCGAAAUCCCCCUGGCUGCUGGGUUGAGAUUAGACUGAAGUGGAACACAGGUAAAUUCCAAAGGCUACUUGGGAGACAAAGAUAUUACAGGUAAGAUCUGAUGGUGAUUUAGACUAAGGGAGAGACAAAUGGGGGCGGGGGCGGUGAGAAGUGGUCUGAGUGUGGAUAAGAUUUGAAGCUAUACUAGGUUUUACUAAGUAGAAAAGGUUUAUAAACAGUUUAUAGGUUUGCUAAAAAUAACAUGGUAUCAAUAAUAUCUAAAGAACUUUCAAGCCAUACCAGUUUUUUUAUGUUUCCCCUUAACACCACAAAGACAAAAGAGAAUGAAAAGAGGGGUUCUUCUAGCAGAAGCCAAAUGCCAGGAAACAGGUUGUUGGCUCUUUGUGUAGGGAAUGCUGGUCUCUUACUAUUGACUGAAGCCAGAAGACAGUCAGUGGCCUUCCCAAACUUGGCCAAGUUGGAAGCAGGGAGAUAGGAUUGUGACACAGCCACAAAGAAAGGACAGGUGGAAAGCACCUGAUGCUGCCUAAUGUAAUUAGCUCAAUAAUAAAGAUGCACAGGCAUGUGACAAGGGUGAAAAUUUGAAUUUGUAGCCAUAUGUGUCCCCUCUAGAGGGAUAUUUUCUCAGCAGGCUGGAGGCACAGGGUUACAGAGGUGAGAUGAGGGGACUAGUAUAGAAAGUCAGAACACAUGGAGUUGAGCAUUUGUUUCUGAGCUGAAACAGAUUCCCCUUCCAAGUGACAACACACUCAAGGCCCUCAACUUUGUUCCAGAAGGUUCUUUGUUCUCCUAUUCAAACAUACAUCUGCUAGCUGACAGCUUGGGAAUUUGAACAUUUAAUUCUCUUUCCUGCCAAAACCCAGCCCUUCCUGCUAGACUCAGGACUAAGUGAUUGCCAAAGUAGACAAUUAGUCUUGUUUCCUUUCCAAAGAGACACCAGCUACAUUUUCACAUGAAAGGGAACAUUCCCAAUAAAAAAAAAUCCACAAGAAUAUAAUGACAGUGGGGAAGUUGGACAGAGGAGAAAGAGGGUAGAUAAUAUAAAUCCACCAUGAAAAAUUGAGUGAAAUAUGCUAAGAAUCUAAUCCAGGUCCCUUAUACUCACAUUUUAUCUUGGGUGAUAAAAGUUUAUCAGAAAACCAUGUAAUAACCUAAUAAGUACUGUAUAGGAUGAUUUUUAUCUAACAGUGAAAUACUCAUAUGUCUAGUGAUAGAGGUAAAAUAACCUUUCUUGGCAUAUUGCGAUGACUACAUUUUUCUUUUUUCUUCUUUGCUUCCACUGGCUCCCGUGAUAUUCUAGAUCAAACCGACCACAAAUCUCUAAAUACCUCUUCAAGAUUAUUUACAUAUUUUCUACCUUUCCCACUUCUAUCGUCUCCUCUCUUUAACUUUUUCUAAUGUACUCACACAUAAUUGUAUAGAAUUAUAACAUUCUAUUAGGCCACGUUACCCAGCCUCAAAAUUUACUACCAUUAGGUCAAAGCCAAGGGCCACUAAACUUUCCUAGGAUAUUAGUCUCUUUGAGAGAGACACAAAUAUGUAAAGCCUCCUCAGAUGAGUCUCCUCAGCUAUGAGGGCUAUAAUAGUGUGCUUGGCCAGUUUACUGAUGUUAGUGGACUCCAACUUUAUGUCCCUAGGCAAGCUUUCUGAAGGUUAGCUCAGACCCCAAUGCCCUGCAUAAUUUUCCUAAGGAUAACUAAGAUGUUUAAAACUUCUAAGCAUUAAGCAAGGCUACAUAAUUAAGAGCCUUUAGAUUUGUCAUUAUACAAUCCCAUUUUUUGAGAUCAGCACAAGAGGUUGAUAUAGCUGUCCAUGGUUCUGAAAGGGUGGUAGUUUUGAACUAAUUAAUUUAAGAAGGUCUAAUUAAUUUACUAAUAUCUAAUGGAUUCCCAGUAUUCUGUUGUGUAACUUGUAUCAAUGAUAUGUCCCACAACUCUUUGGUUUGACAUUCUGCUGUGAAUGACUAAAAUAUAGAUUGGUGUGAAUAGUCAUUAAGCCCGUUAGAAAACAUUUAGUGAUUAAAACUUCCCAGUCCGUUGGGGUGCCUGUGUGGCUCAGUCGGUUGAGCGUCUGGCUUUGGCUCAGGUCAUGAGCUCGCAGUCUGUGAGUUCAAACCCUGCAUCGGGCUCUGUGCUGACAGCUCAGAGC